rnacentral:rRNA from 1 species
CCUACGGGCGGCUGCAGUGGGGAAUAUUGGACAAUGGGGGGAACCCUGAUCCAGCCAUGCCGCGUGUGUGAAGAAGGCCCUCGGGUUGUAAAACACUUUCAGUGAGGAAGAACGCCUGGUGGUUAAUACCCAUCAGGAAAGACAUCACUCACAGAAGAAGCACCGGCUAACUCCGUGCCAGCAGCCGCGGUAAUACGGAGGGUGCGAGCGUUAAUCGGAAUUACUGGGCGUAAAGCGCGCGUAGGUGGCUUGAUAAGCCGGUUGUGAAAGCCCCGGGCUCAACCUGGGAACGGCAUCCGGAACUGUCAAGCUAGAGUGCAGGAGAGGAAGGUAGAAUUCCCGGUGUAGCGGUGAAAUGCGUAGAGAUCGGGAGGAAUACCAGUGGCGAAGGCGGCCUUCUGGACUGACACUGACACUGAGGUGCGAAAGCGUGGGUAGCAAACAGGAUUAGAUACCCUAGUAGUC